CUUAUCAAGAGCGGUGGAGGGAACGGCCCGAUGAAGCCCGGCAACCUGUCCGUCCUGAGGGACGGGGAAGGUGCCAAAUCCGGCGAGUGGAAUCGAAAGAUGAGG
rnacentral:ncRNA from 1 species